rnacentral:rRNA from 1 species
UUUCCGGUCCGGAUCACCGGGAUCAAAUUAGAGUGCUUAAAGCAGGCUCCAAAUGCCUGAAUAUUUUGUGCAUGGAAUAAUGAAAUAAGACCUCUGUUCUACUUUCAUUGGUUGUUAGAUCAAGAGGUAAUGAUUAAUAGAAGCAGUUUGGGGGCAUUAGUAUUACGACGCGAGAGGUGAAAUUCUUGGACCGUCGUAAGACUAACUUAAGCGAAAGCAUUUGCCAAAGAUGUUUUCAUUAAUCAAGAACGAAAGUUAGAGGUUCGAAGGCGAUCAGAUACCGCCCUAGUUCUAACCAUAAACGAUGCCAGCUAGCAAUUGGGUGUAGCUAAUUUCAUGGCUCUCUCAGUCGCUUCCCGGGAAACCAAAGCUUUUGGGCUCCGGGGGAAGUAUGGUUGCAAAGCUGAAACUUAAAGGAAUUGACGGAAGGGCACCACCAGGAGUGGAGCCUGCGGCUUAAUUUGACUCAACACGGGAAAACUUACCAGGUCCGAACAUAAGUGUGUAAGACAGAUUGAUAGCUCUUUCUCGAAUCUAUGGGUGGUGGUGCAUGGCCGUUCUUAGUUCGUGGAGUGAUUUGUCUGGUUAAUUCCGAUAACGAACGAGACUCAAAUAUAUUAAAUAGAUGCUUUCAGGAUUAUGGUGUUGAAGCUUUUAUAGCCUUCAUUCGCGACCGCAGUAAAAUGUGUUAGUGUUUGAAUGUGUUUAUAAAAGUGGAGCCGUACCUGUUGGUUUGUCCCAUUAUAACGUCACUAGCUUCUUAAAUGGACAAAUUGCGUCUAGCAAUAAUGAGAUUGAGCAAUAACAGUCUGUGAUGCCCUUAGAUGUCCUGGGCUGCACGCGCGCUACAAUGAAAGUAUCAACGUGUAUUUCCUAGACCGAGAGGUCCCGGGUAAACCGCUGAACCACUUUCAUGCUUGGGAUUGUGAACUGAAACUGUUCACAUGAACUUGGAUUCCCAGUAAGUGUGAGUCAUUACUCGCAUUGAUUACGUCCCUGCCCUUUGUACACACCGCCCGUCGCUACUACGAUGAUUAUUUAUGAGUCUCGACGUGAUCACUGUAACGCCCUGUGUGUUACGGAUGUUUUCG